GAUGGAGAAAAGGAUUAGCCUACCUGAGAAGCAUGAUGGCGGCAGCCUAUGUUAAGAGAUUACGGAAUUGUCAACACUUCAAUGAUUUCAAAGCUUGCAGUUUGUUCUGUGGAGACGAUUCAAUUUUUUAAUUCCUCGAAUGUCCUUUUUGUCUAUAGGAUGCCCUCAUGGUCUCAUAUGUCUCUCUGUGUGCAAAGAUAACACUUUAAAGGCGAGUCGCAUGAAUGCAAGAUAAAACUGCGUUGGUUAUGUUCAAACUUUUCGUGUCUAAAUUGUGCUUUAUUUCCUGCAAACUGGCACCUUACUAUACAUGAUAAUAUCUAAAAUAACAGGCAGCUGUAUGAUCUUAUUCUACUACUGCCUAACUUUGUGAUACAUGAUAAUUAAGCAGAUGUGACUUCUCUAAUAUGCAUGUGCUAUACAUAAGAAAAUCAAGAUAAAAAAUCUUUGAUAUGGGAUGAAAUCGAGAUGCAUAGAAAAUCACAUAUAAUGGGUGCUUGCGUGUGGUCUAAGUAGUACAGAGCGAGAAGAUAAUUGGGAGCCUAUGUCCAUUCAUGCAUACCUGCUUGCAUACAUGUGUACUGCCUUGUUAGAUUACUAUAUACGCACCACGUCGACAGAGCUUGUUGGCAUGUUCUGCAUAGAUGACGAUACGCAAGAAGGUAAUGGAUCUGAAAAUAAUGCAAAUAAUAAGGAAUCAAGAAUGUCUAGUGUAGAUUAGUCUUGAACUCUCGAUGGGCAUCAACCAAGUAAUGAACCACAUGGCAGACUGUUGUAGCAAAUAUCCAAGUUCUGUAGGCCGGUGGGACAACCUGAUUUGUGUGAGGAACUGAAGAUGGACCAAACAAACAACAAGUAUAAGAAGGUAUUAAGGCAAGGGAGUGACAUGGAGUUCAGAUGAGAUCUGUACCAUUGUGGUAGUGGUGGCUGGUGGUAAAAAGAGGAGAUGCUAUGGAUGAUAGGCAGUAGCACCAAAAUCUGAAUCAACCCAUCUAGAAUUUUCAGUGUGUAGUUGUGUGCAAACCUUGACAAAUGAUGUCCAGCUAGGCUUUGUUUGGCUGCACCUGUGCAGAGUUGUGGGCA
rnacentral:lncRNA from 1 species